UUGGACAAAAGCCCAUACAAUGUAUGAGCACUUGGGAUCCCCCUGUCACACUUUCGUGCAUUGNAGAGGUU
rnacentral:rRNA from 1 species